rnacentral:lncRNA from 1 species
GGCCCCCCUUUCAGUUUGUUUUGUAAAAAUCUGAAUACAACAAGUGAACAAAUAUGCUUGGUGUAAAGCUCUUCGAAAACCUUAAAUAAAAUUCUCAGAUAUAUGAAAGGGGGGGAUUUCUUCAAGGCUACUAAUACUUUGAAGUGAGAAAACUGGUGGUUUAUCAAUAUACUUGAGGCAUUUUUAUCGAAUGGUAGAAUUAAAAGAAUCCAAACAACAGUAAACAGGGAGACACAUAAAAUGCUCCAAGAUCAAUGGAGAUAAGAAGAGGGAGGAGAGAAUACCGAUAGAGCCACAAUGUAAAUGUGAUGCAAAAAAGUGAUGAAACAUUGCUCUUCACAGCUUUUUCGAGCACCGUUAUCUGAAGAAUUUUCCUAGAACUAAACAUUAUUUUAAUACAUAGAAAACCUUAAAAUGUUUGAUAGAAGAAUUGCUAAAAAGGAAUAGAGGAGCUUGACAUUUGGGUUAAAAUUCUAACCAGCGUCAAAUUUUAUGCAGUUGUAUGGAUUUAUCUUUUAUUCUAUACAGUUUAUGUAGAUAUUAUGGGUGGAAAAAAUCCAAUGAACCGUUAUGUUGUAGGUGCAAUGUUUCAAUCCCCAAGACCAAUUUGAAGCCCAACAAUUGCACAUAGCAAAAAUAAACUCUGGCGCACACAAAUUGCACAUUAUUAUGCUUCAAUCCACAAUUUAAUCUGAAAUCGCAAUUCCCCUUGUACAGAGGCAUUGCUACCAGAAUCUUUUCAGAUGCUACUGGCAGCAUCUGUCUGUCCUUUUUUUUUUCUUAGCCAUUGUCCAAUAGAAAACUGUCAAGUGUGUUGUGUAGCAAUUUUGGCAGCACUUUUUUCUGUACACAUAGCAUAACUGAAUCUUAAAUGCCAAUUAUUUAGAGCUUUGCUACAUGUAUAGAAAAUUUGUAUAUGUAGUUUGACAGAUGCGUAUAUCUAUAUGUCAAUUUGAAUUUCUGUAGAAUAAUUCUAAGUUGUAUAUUAUGUGUUAAACACAAACAACAGUCAACUUUGACUUCC